AGUACAGGUGAAGACAGAGCUGUGGAGAGGAGACAACUGGUGUAGUUGCUGACUUUCCCACAUCAGGAAUCAAGAUCCCACUGGCCAACUUCAGGCCCUGGGAUCUAAAGUCCUGUUGUGAGAGCACAGAAGGGAUCAGUUCUAGACAAUUCCAUCCAGGUCACUUUAGGCUUAUUCUCAAGAUCUGAAGGCCUGGCCGGGUGUGGUGGCUCACGCCUGUGAUCCCAGCACUUUGGGAAGCCGAGGUGGGUGGAUCACCUGAGGUCAGGAGUUCAAGACCAGCCUGGCCAACCUGGCAAAACCCCGUCUCUACUAAAAAUACAAAAAUUAGCCAGGCAUAGUGGUGUGUGCCUGUAAUCCCAGCUACUCGGGAGGCUGAGGCAGGAGAAUCGCUUGAACCUGGGAGGUGGAGGUUGCAGUGAGUCGAGAUCACACCACUGCUCUCCAGCCUGGAGCUCAGUGCCUCUGAUGACAGCUCCCUGUCAGAUGGGCUCCUCCUGGAGGAAGGGAAAGGAAAGGUGAACUCCAAGAGAGCUGAUCAACCCCAGAUGUCC
rnacentral:lncRNA from 10 species